UACGUAGGGUGCAAGCGUUGUCCGGAAUUAUUGGGCGUAAAGAGCUCGUAGGCGGCUUGUCACGUCGACUGUGAAAACCCGAGGCUCAACCUCGGGCCUGCAGUCGAUACGGGCAGACUAGAGUUCGGUAGGGGAGUCUGGAAUUCCUGGUGUAGCGGUGAAAUGCGCAGAUAUCAGGAGGAACACCGGUGGCGAAGGCGGGUCUCUGGGCAGUAACUGACGUGAGGAGCGAAAGCGUGGGGAGCGAACAGG
rnacentral:rRNA from 1 species